rnacentral:rRNA from 1 species
GAUGAACGCUAGCGGCAGGCCUAAUACAUGCAAGUCGAACGGGAUCCAGAUCAAAGCUUGCUUUGGUCUGGUGAGAGUGGCGCACGGGUGCGUAACGCGUGAGCAACCUACCCUUGUCAGGGGGAUAGCCCGGCGAAAGUCGGAUUAAUACCGCAUGACAUCAUUGAGAGGCAUCUUUCGAUGAUUAAAGAUUUAUCGGACAAGGAUGGGCUCGCGUGACAUUAGCUAGUUGGUAAGGUAACGGCUUACCAAGGCUGCGAUGUCUAGGGGCUCUGAGAGGAGAAUCCCCCAGACUGGUACUGAGACACGGGCCAGACACAUACGGCAGGCAGCAGUAAGGAGUAUUGAUCAAUGGACGGGAGUCUGAACCAGCCAUGCCGCGUGCAGGAGGACCGCCCUAUGUGUCGUAAACUGCUUUUAUACGGGAACAAACGUCGGUACGUGUACCGGUCUGAGUGUACCGUAAGAAUAAGGAUCGGCUAACUCCGUG